CUAUCAUUUAAUCUACCGGUAUAUAAUGUGACCAUAGUCGCAAUUUAUUCCAUUUUCUUUCAAGCUCUGGCACUGGCUGUUCUACUAUUACACUCACACAACUUGUCCCUUUUUUAGAAUAUUCUUGGAUUCUAUAACGAAUGAAGAAUGGUUUGUUUAGGAACAGAUUAUUUUAAGAAAAUUAUAAUAUUUGCAUCGUGUACGGUUUUUUUCGGUCUAAGUGUAAUUUCUCGACCAUUAGAUCAACAUCGUGAAAAGAGAAAAAUAUUUCAAUUAUGUGGAUUGAUUAAUUUCUACACAGAAAGAUCAUGUUGGGACUAUAAUGAUUAUGGUUGUUUCUCUGGAUUAGGUAACUCCGGCCAAUUCUUGAAAUGUGGGCGUAU